UACGUAGGUGGCAAGCGUUGUCCGGAAUUAUUGGGCGUAAAGAGCUUGUAGGCGGUUUGUCGCGUCUGCCGUGAAAAUCCGGGGCUCAACCCCGGACUUGCGGUGGGUACGGGCAGACUAGAGUGUGGUAGGGGAGACUGGAAUUCCUGGUGUAGCGGUGAAAUGCGCAGAUAUCAGGAGGAACACCGAUGGCGAAGGCAGGUCUCUGGGCCACUACUGACGCUGAGAAGCGAAAGCGUGGGGAGCGAACAGG
rnacentral:rRNA from 1 species